GUCAGUUAAGUUUAUUCAAAAUACAUGUUGGGUUUGAUUGUAAAAUAAAUAAGACUCCUUCUCUGAUGCUAAGGAACUUAGCAUCUGUACACCGAUACGUUUUGGUUUCAGCCAAGUCGUUGUUAACAGCACGCCGAUGUUCGGCUGCAGCGGGGAGCGCGGCCACGCGGUGGGGCAGAGCCGCCCCUCACGCGGCCGCAGGGGCGGGGCGGGGCCCGCACAGGUGCUCCGAGUUCGGCCAACGGUUCUUCCACGGCACGAGACGGCGAUAAAGCUGUGGGGGCUGCCGGGCGUCGGCUGCAGGGCUGCGACCUUGUGAGGAGCAGUGCGUGGGUUGGUGAGCCGCCUGAUCGCCAGCUAGUUGCGCAUCUCCAGAGCCUCAAACUGUUAACCAAAGAGUCAGUUCUGGGUCAGCGAGGAUUUGAGUGGUUAAAACUGCACAGUUCAUGGGGGCACAUACACCUAUGGAAUGGUAUCAGAUGCUGCACUGGGCUGCCUGCUCCCACUUGCUGCAAGCAGAAAUGGGCUCACUGUGGAAGAAGAACUUGUGAUUUCUGAGAAUUGCAACCAUCUCUAUUGAAACCUUUAACCAGUAGAGCACCCUCUAGAGAAAUGCUGAAAUGCCUCAAGGCACAGUUCUGCUUUUGGCCUAUCUAGAAUUUUCUAGAUGUGGAAUGAAUCCUC
ensembl:lncRNA